AAUCACUACGGAUUGGUGAUCUUCAGGAAGAAGAUACGGUUAUUCAGGAUGAAUGAUCGGCAUGGAUAGCAAACAGGACAUUGAACGGACUCAAUCGUGACUAGGAUGGUGACGACAAGGGAAUGGCAAUGGACUCCUCUGGACGAGGCAAGGACUCAGCAUCAGGAUGAUGCCAAGGACACCGCUCAAGGACCAAGUGAUGAGAGCUAACCAGGAUAGUUAGCAGAUCAGGACGAUCAAGGACACCGCUAGGAUGGCGAUGAACGGAUUACGCUGACGGAUACAGCAUACUUAUCAAGGAAUAGAUGCAGGGAGCACCUAUUAGUAGCCGGAUUGCUGCGAGUAAGACUAUAACCCCGAAGGGCUUUGGCCCCUCGGGGUUUUUCUUUU
rnacentral:other from 1 species